rnacentral:rRNA from 1 species
UACGUAGGGGGCUAGCGUUGUCCGGAUUUAUUGGGCGUAAAGAGCGUGUAGGCGGCCAGGUAGGUCGGUUGUGAAAACUGGAGGCUCAACCUUCAGAGGUCGACCGAAACCAUCUGGCUAGAGUCCGGGAGAGGAGAGUGGAAUUCCUGGUGUAGCGGUGAAAUGCGCAGAUAUCAGGAAGAACACCCGUGGCGAAAGCGGCUCUCUGGAACGGUACUGACGCUGAGACGCGAAAGCGUGGGGAGCGAAUAGG